GAGGGUACAGCUCAGCGGUAGAGCACAUGCCUCGCAUGUACGAGGUCCUGGGCUCCAUCCCCAGUACCCUGA
rnacentral:tRNA from 1 species